rnacentral:rRNA from 1 species
GGCGUGCCUAACACAUGCAAGUCGAACGGAACUGCUUCGAAGGAUUUCUUCGGAAUGACAUUGAUUCAGUUUAGUGGCGGACGGGUGAGUAACGCGUGAGUAACCUGCCUUCAAGAGGGGGAUAACAUUCUGAAAAGAAUGCUAAUACCGCAUGACAUAUGAUUGUCGCAUGGCAGACAUAUCAAAGAUUUAUCGCUUGAAGAUGGACUCGCGUCCGAUUAGUUAGUUGGUGAGGUGACGGCCCACCGUGGCGACGAUCGGUAGGGGUUCUGAGAGGAAGGUCCCCCACAUUGGAACUGAGACACGGUCCAAACUCCUACGGGAGGCAGCAGUGAGGAAUAUUGGUCAAUGGACGCAAGUCUGAACCAGCCAAGUAGCGUGCAGGAUGACGGCCCUAUGGGUUGUAAACUGCUUUUAUAAGGGAAUAAAGUGAGCCUCGUGAGGCUUUUUGCAUGUACCUUAUGAAUAAGGACCGGCUAAUUCCGUG